rnacentral:rRNA from 1 species
UGGCCUGCCUCUCGACGCGCCGUACGCGGAGUGCACGAGAGGGCAACAGGAACCUGAAGAAACAAA